GUGCUUGCUUUGGCAGCACACAUACUAAAAUUGGAAUGAUUCAGAGAAGAUUAGUGUGGCCCCUGUACAAGGAUGACAUGCAAAUUUGUGAAGCAUUCCAUAGUUUU
rnacentral:snRNA from 1 species